rnacentral:rRNA from 1 species
UUGUACCUACGGGGCUCAGCAGUGGGGAAUAUUGCACAAUGGGGGAAACCCUGAUGCAGCGACGCCGCGUGAGCGAUGAAGUAUUUCGGUAUGUAAAGCUCUAUCAGCAGGGAAGAAAAUGACGGUACCUGACUAAGAAGCCCCGGCUAACUACGUGCCAGCAGCCGCGGUAAUACGUAUGGUGCAAGCGUUAUCCGGAUUUACUGGGUGUAAAGGGAGCGUAGGCGGCGCGUUAAGUCUGAUGUGAAAACCCGAGGCUCAACCACGGGAGUGCAUUGGAAACUGGCGGGCU